rnacentral:rRNA from 1 species
UACAGAGGGGGCAAGCGUUAUUCGGAAUUAUUGGGCGUAAAGGGCGCGUAGGCGGCUUUGCAAGUGACGGGUGAAAUCCCAAGGCUCAACCUUGGAACUGCCUUUGAUACUGGGGAUCUUGAGUCCGGGAGAGGUGAGUGGAACUGCGAGUGUAGAGGUGAAAUUCGUAGAUAUUCGCAAGAACACCAGUGGCGAAGGCGGCUCACUGGCCCGGUACUGACGCUGAGGUGCGAAAGCGUGGGGAGCAAACAGG